rnacentral:rRNA from 1 species
GGACGAACGCUGGCGGCGUGCCUAAUACAUGCAAGUCGAACGAGUCCUCCCAAUUUGAUUUUAUGCUUGCAUAAAUGAUUUUUGGAUUCGGGACGAGUGGCGAACUGGUGAGUAACACGUGGGUAACCUGCCCUAAAGCAGGGGAUAACAUUUGGAAACAGAUGCUAAUACCGUAUAAUUGGUUGGAACCACAUGGUUCCAACUUGAAAGAUGGCUCUGCUAUCACUUUAGGACGGACCCGCGGCGUAUUAGCUAGUUGGUGAGAUAAAAGCUCACCAAGGCGAUGAUACGUAGCCGACCUGAGAGGGUAAUCGGCCACAUUGGGACUGAGACACGGCCCAGACUCCUACGGGAGGCAGCAGUAGGGAAUCUUCCACAAUGGACGAAAGUCUGAUGGAGCAACGCCGCGUGAGUGAAGAAGGGUUUCGGCUCGUAAAACUCUGUUGUUAAAGAAGAACAAGUGUAAGAGUAACUGUUUACGCUUUGACGGUAUUUAACCAGAAAGCCACGGCUAACUACGUGCCAGCAGCCGCGGUAAUACGUAGGUGGCAAGCGUUGUCCGGAUUUAUUGGGCGUAAAGCGAGCGCAGUGGUCUUUUAAGUCUGUUGUGAAAGCCCUCAGCUCAACUGAGGAAGUGCAGCGGAAACUAGGAGACUUGAGUACAGAAGAGGAUAGUGGAACUCCAUGUGUAGCGGUGAAAUGCGUAGAUAUAUGGAAGAACACCAGUGGCGAAGGCGGCUAUCUGGUCUGUUACUGACACUGAGGCUCGAAAGCAUGGGUAGCGAACAGGAUUAGAUACCCUGGUAGUCCAUGCCGUAAACGAUGAAUACUAGGUGUUGGAGGGUUUCCGCCCUUCAGUGCCGCAGCUAACGCAUUAAGUAUUCCGCCUGGGGAGUACGACCGCAAGGUUGAAACUCAAAGGAAUUGACGGGGGCCCGCACAAGUGGUGGAGCAUGUGGUUUAAUUCGAUGCUACGCGAAGAACCUUACCAGGUCUUGACAUCUUCUGCCAACCUAAGAGAUUAGGCGUUCCCUUCGGGGACAGAAUGACAGGUGGUGCAUGGUUGUCGUCAGCUCGUGUCGUGAGAUGUUGGGUUAAGUCCCGCAACGAGCGCAACCCUUAUUAUUAGUUGCCAGCAUUAAGUUGGGCACUCUAGUGAGACUGCCGGUGAUAAACCGGAGGAAGGUGGGGAUGACGUCAAAUCAUCAUGCCCCUUAUGACCUGGGCUACACACGUGCUACAAUGGAUGGUACAACGAGUUGCGAAACCGCGAGGUCAAGCUAAUCUCUUAAAGCCAUUCUCAGUUCGGAUUGCAGGCUGCAACUCGCCUGCAUGAAGUUGGAAUCACUAGUAAUCGUGGAUCAGCAUGCCACGGUGAAUACGUUCCCGGGCCUUGUAC